UACGGGGGGGGCAAGCGUUGUUCGGAAUUACUGGGCGUAAAGGGCUCGUAGGCGGCCAACUAAGUCAGACGUGAAAUCCCUCGGCUUAACCGGGGAACUGCAUCUGAUACUGGAUGGCUUGAGUUCGGGAGAGGGAUGCGGAAUUCCAGGUGUAGCGGUGAAAUGCGUAGAUAUCUGGAGGAACACCGGUGGCGAAGGCGGCGAUCUGGGAAGAUACUGACGCUGAGGUGCGAAAGCGUGGGGAGCAAACAGG
rnacentral:rRNA from 1 species